AAGUCGUAACAAGGUUUCCGUAGGUGAACCUGCGGAAGGAUCAUUAACACGUAUCCUACGUAUCAACCCCUUCGUGCUCUUUUGUUUGAUGUCAUAUUCGUCUGGGGCGUGGUCGGCUCGUCCGGCGUGGUCCCUGUCGAACAUAACUUAAACUUUAAACCCCUUUGUAAUCAUUUCUUACUGAAAUAUUUGUUGGCGAAACUGGAAACGGUCUCGUUUCAACAUGUAUUACGAAAUGCUUGACAACUCUUAACAACGGAUAUCUUGGUUCUC
rnacentral:misc_RNA from 1 species